GACAGAGGGUGCAAACGUUGUUCGGAAUUACUGGGCGUAAAGCGCGUGUAGGCGGCUAAGUAAGUCGGGCGUGAAAUCCCACGGCUCAACCGUGGAAGUGCACUCGAAACUGCAUAGCUAGAGUCCUGGAGAGGAAGGUGGAAUGCUUGGUGUAGAGGUGAAAUUCGUAGAUAUCAAGCGGAACACCGGUGGCGAAGGCGGCAACCUGGUCCUUGACUGACGCUGAGGCGCGAAAGCGUGGGGAGCAAACGG
rnacentral:rRNA from 1 species